CAGGACGAACGCGGGCGGCGCGCUUAACACAUGCAAGUCGAGCGAGAACCGGUCCUUCGGGACUGGGGAAAGCGGCGAACGGGUGAGUAACACGUGAGUAAUCCACCCUCGGCACUGGGAUAGCCCGGGGAAACCCGGAUUAAUACCGGAUGGCCCAACAGCUCUUCGGGGCGGUUGGAAAAGGUAGCUUUGGCCUCCGGCCGAGGACGAGCUCGCGGCGGAUUAGCUUGUUGGUGGGGUAAUGGCCUACCAAGGCGACGAUCCGUAGCUGGUCUGAGAGGACGAUCAGCCACACUGGGACUGAGACACGGCCCAGACUCCUACGGGAGGCAGCAGUGGGGAAUCUUGCACAAUGGGCGAAAGCCUGAUGCAGCGACGCCGCGUGAGGGAAGAAGGCUUUCGGGUUGUAAACCUCUUUCAGGAGGGACGAAGCUACUCGGGUUAAUAGCCCAGAGGGUGACGGUACCUCCAGAAGAAGCCCCGGCUAACUACGUGCCAGCAGCCGCGGUAAUACGUAGGGGGCAAGCGUUGUCCGGAUUUAUUGGGCGUAAAGAGCGUGUAGGCGGCCAGAUAGGUCCGUUGUGAAAACUCGAGGCUCAACCUCGAGACGCCGAUGGAAACCAUUUGGCUAGAGUCCGGAAGAGGAGAGUGGAAUUCCUGGUGUAGCGGUGAAAUGCGCAGAUAUCAGGAAGAACACCCGUGGCUAAGGCGGCUCUCUAGUACGGUACUGACGCUGAGACGCGAAAGCGUGGGGAGCGAACAGGAUUAGAUACCCUGGUAGUCCACGCCGUAAACGAUGGGUGCUAGGUGUGGGGGGUGUCGACUCCCUCCGUGCCGAAGCUAACGCAUUAAGCACCCCGCCUGGGGAGUA
rnacentral:rRNA from 1 species